UGAGUGAUGGAAGGGCUGGAGCCAGGAUCCACCCCUUUCAGUCCUCAUUUAAGGGCUGGCAAUGGAGAUGUGGGUAUCUUUCUUUGGGGGUUUCUGUGUAUCUGAGGUCUCUUGAAGGACAGGACAAUCUGAGAAGAUUUAGCCAAGAGAAAUCUCCAUGCCAGUGAGUACUCAAUUCAAGCAUGGUCUCCCAGUGAGCAGGGAAGACACAGAGCUGCACAAUCACUGCCACAGCACUGAGGGUCAAACACUCAUCUGUCUCCCAGCUGAGCUGAGCAAACCCAGGUGGGAGGAAACAAAGAGAAAUAACGAAUUAAAAGAUCUCAUCUGGACAUUUAGAGGAAGUCACAGGCUCAUGGACUUGUGUACAUGUUAUGGCUUCCUGCAGUGCAUCCGUCUCUGUGGAGCUGUGAUUACAGCAGAUGGAUGUGCGGGGCUGUGUGCUCUCCUCAGAUGCACUGAGGACCUCCUUUCAGGCUGACCAUUUGACUCAGCCUGAGUCAGCAGCACGAAGGCAAUGCGCUGUGUUUCCUCAAGCCUUGUGGCAGCACACUGCACCAGGGAAGCACUGUGGUCAGCCAGAAGUUCUUGGACAGACAGUGGGAGUUAAGUGCAUGAAAUCCAACACUCCAUGCUAUAUACCAGAGGUCAGGCCCAGGGUCCCUUCGGAUCCAAAGCACAAAUGCAGCAACUGUUUCCCACCAAGAAAGCCCUCCAAAGCCUGUUUCUGGAAAACGCAGAGCAGAGGCAGAAUGAGAUGGGAGAACAAAGUCAGCCUAAUGGACACAAAGCUCUGCGAGUCGACAUCUGAUGUCAGUGCUUAUGGACACCGAGGCUUGGCUCAGCUGCAGGGCCCAGCAGUGGCAGCCCAGGGUGCUGGUCCUUGUCUGACCCCGCUGUGUUUCACAUGCUGUUCUCCUCUGGGCUGAGCCAGCUCAUCCCGCUCGAAACUCUGACUGAAAACAUCAUCUAAAAACAGCUCCUCGUGCUGGUGCCCAGGGGGGAGGAGAAGAACUCAGCAGGCACAGAUGGAGCUGCAAUAAAUAGCGGAGCCGACGGGACGGGGUGGGAU